AUGUGUGCAACUGGGCUAGAGCAGAGCUCAUGUUCAACUCCUUGCGAGAAUGGUGAUUUGCUAUACAGUAGCCAACUCUCUGGUCCGAUUAAAAUACACAACAUAAACAAUCAGGGUGACCAACAAGAUUAUAUUAACUGAUAAUAACAUUACAAACAUCUAACUGAACAAGAUAAUAUUUUCCUGCAGUAGUGAAUAUUGUAGGAUUUCAGCUCAGAACAAGAUGGACUAGAAUCAGAGUGCCAUCAUAGGCUACGGCCUAAGUAUGCUGAGGAAUCUGUCCCUGCAGGAGGCAGAAAAGGUCUUCAUCUCUGGACCAGUUUAUCAGGGAAGUAGAGAAUGUACAUUAUCUGCACAAUGCCAUACAACUUUAUAAUCUACUAUUAAUACCUUUAUUAUCAACCACUUAAGUAAUGCUAAUUAAUGUACACUACUUUGUUAGGCUAACUGAUAUUUAUGCUUACCUAGAAGUAAUAUUGUCUGUACUAUUUCAGUGAAGUGGAGGAGUUUGAUAGGGGGAUAUCUAAACAAUUGUGCACUGAAGGGAGACCAUUCAAGUAGUAGUAGCGUUAAUUAAUUCACAAACAACACGACUUCACAAUAUGUUUAUAUUUGUUUUUCUUGCUUCCAUCUCUCAUUGAAGGAUGAAGUUGUAUGGAGGUUUAGAUGGAGCGAUAUGGAGGGGAUGGAGUGAUAUGGAGGGGUGGUGCUGUCAGGGUCCUAGAACUGCGGUCCUGAAACUG